rnacentral:rRNA from 1 species
UUUAUGGAGAGUUUGAUCCUGGCUCAGGAUGAACGCUGGCGGCGUGCCUAAUACAUGCAAGUCGAGCGAACAGACAAGGAGCUUGCUCCUUUGACGUUAGCGGCGGACGGGUGAGUAACACGUGGGUAACCUACCUAUAAGACUGGGAUAACUUCGGGAAACCGGAGCUAAUACCGGAUAAUAUUUCGAACCGCAUGGUUCGAUAGUGAAAGAUGGUUUUGCUAUCACUUAUAGAUGGACCCGCGCCGUAUUAGUUAGUUGGUAAGGUAACGGCUUACCAAGGCGACGAUACGUAGCCGACCUGAGAGGGUGAUCGGCCACACUGGAACUGAGACACGGUCCAGACUCCUACGGGAGGCAGCAGUAGGGAAUCUUCCGCAAUGGGCGAAAGCCUGACGGAGCAACGCCGCGUGAGUGAUGAAGGUCUUCGGAUCGUAAAACUCUGUUAUUAGGGAAGAACAUACGUGUAAGUAACUAUGCACGUCUUGACGGUACCUAAUCAGAAAGCCACGGCUAACUACGUGCCAGCAGCCGCGGUAAUACGUAGGUGGCAAGCGUUAUCCGGAAUUAUUGGGCGUAAAGCGCGCGUAGGCGGUUUUUUAAGUCUGAUGUGAAAGCCCACGGCUCAACCGUGGAGGGUCAUUGGAAACUGGAAAACUUGAGUGCAGAAGAGGAAAGUGGAAUUCCAUGUGUAGCGGUGAAAUGCGCAGAGAUAUGGAGGAACACCAGUGGCGAAGGCGACUUUCUGGUCUGUAACUGACGCUGAUGUGCGAAAGCGUGGGGAUCAAACAGGAUUAGAUACCCUGGUAGUCCACGCCGUAAACGAUGAGUGCUAAGUGUUAGGGGGUUUCCGCCCCUUAGUGCUGCAGCUAACGCAUUAAGCACUCCGCCUGGGGAGUACGACCGCAAGGUUGAAACUCAAAGGAAUUGACGGGGACCCGCACAAGCGGUGGAGCAUGUGGUUUAAUUCGAAGCAACGCGAAGAACCUUACCAAAUCUUGACAUCCUUUGACAACUCUAGAGAUAGAGCCUUCCCCUUCGGGGGACAAAGUGACAGGUGGUGCAUGGUUGUCGUCAGCUCGUGUCGUGAGAUGUUGGGUUAAGUCCCGCAACGAGCGCAACCCUUAAGCUUAGUUGCCAUCAUUAAGUUGGGCACUCUAAGUUGACUGCCGGUGACAAACCGGAGGAAGGUGGGGAUGACGUCAAAUCAUCAUGCCCCUUAUGAUUUGGGCUACACACGUGCUACAAUGGACAAUACAAAGGGCAGCGAAACCGCGAGGUCAAGCAAAUCCCAUAAAGUUGUUCUCAGUUCGGAUUGUAGUCUGCAACUCGACUACAUGAAGCUGGAAUCGCUAGUAAUCGUAGAUCAGCAUGCUACGGUGAAUACGUUCCCGGGUCUUGUACACACCGCCCGUCACACCACGAGAGUUUGUAACACCCGAAGCCGGUGGAGUAACCAUUUGGAGCUAGCCGUCGAAGGUGGGACAAAUGAUUGGGGUGAAGUCGUAACAAGGUAGCCGUAUCGGAAGGUGCGGCUGGAUCACCUCCUUU